rnacentral:lncRNA from 10 species
GGUGGUCGGCUCCUCCAGACAGUAAGCUCCAUGCAGGAAGUCUCUCUGUCUUUCUAGGGCCUGUGUCUCCAGUGCUCAGAUCUUAAGCAUCUGCUGCAAGCAUGGGUGACCCCCAUUGUGGAACGAACCCACUCUCUGGUAACUGCAAUGUGAGCCUUCUGCUUGCAAUCUCUCCCGGGGCUGAUGUUGAGUUCAGAUCAGCUGGAUCUGGUCUACAGCACGCUGGGGCUCUGCCUGUGCACCGUCCUUUGCCGCUUCCUGGUGACAGUGGCCUGCUUCCUCAAGAAGAGGGGGGAUCCCUGCUCCUGCCAGUCCCACUCAAGUCCCUGUCAAAGUCUGGCCAAGUCUUCCCAUGAUCACGAGAUGAAAGCCAGCAGCCCUGGGGCACGUCUCCUGAGCCAGGGGAGACCUGCAGCUUCUGCUUCCCUGAGCACAGCACGCCCACCCAGGAGAGCGCGGUCAUACCUGGGACCCUCAACCCUGUGGGUGAUGGAAGGUGGAGGCAUCCUGUGAGGGUGCCCUGAUAGAUGGCAGCCUUGGCAUUGUGUGCGGACACACCCAAGAGAGGGUCCUAAGUGCCGGAACAGGGGCAAGGAGGAAGAGGAGGAGGGAAAGAGAUGGAGAGAGAGAGAGGAAAAAAAGAGAGAUGAAGAGAAAGACAGAGGAGGCAGAGAGGAAGAGAGAGACAGAGCAGGAGGUCGUGGCACUCUGGGUCCCAGUUCCCAGUGCAGCUGUAGGUUGCCAUCACCUAACCACAUGUGCAAUAAAGUCCUCGUGCCUCCUGCUCACAGCCCCCGAGAGCCCCUCCUCCUGGAGAAUAAAACCUUAGGCGGCUGCCCUUCCUCACUGCAUUGUGGUUGUGUCUAAUGAACCGAGACGUCCCGUCUAUCACCUUCCUGGGCUCAAGGCUCCACCGAAUGCUGCCCCUCGGUUUGGGAGGCUCUGUGGUGCCGCCAUCUCACCAGGCUCCCAAGGAAGCUUGUGAUCUUGGGUUGGGCCCUAAGCAGCCGGGUACCCGCUGGGGCUCUGCUUCUCUCUUUCACUAAGAGAGAGAAAGAGACCAAAGAAUGGUCUGCAGGGAGGGCGCCUGUGCAAACACCCAGGGAACCAGGGGCUUGAGCUGUCUUCAUUUCCUUACAGACACACAUUCCCUUCCAUGCCUCCUUAGUGAGGGCAUGACGCACAGUGUGUGUGUGUGUGUGCAGGUGUGUGCGUGCAUAUGUGUGUGUGUUGUGGGGGUGUGCAGUGGACAGGAAGGAGAGGGCAGCUCCAGCUCAAAGCUGCAAGAAAGAUCGAGAUUCCCUGGACCACAGCAAGAGACUUUUCGUUUGCCUACAUUUUUUUAUUAGCAUUUAAAGCUAUAUUUUGAGUAGCAUGCAAACCUUAAGUUACUUAACUAUUCUUAGAAGCAUUUACACAGUAAGAUAAUACAUGAUAAUGUACAUUGAAAUUAUUCACCCUGCACCCCCCAACAAUAUCUUGCAUACCUACACCCACUAAAGUAUCCCAUGGGAGAUGGGGUGGGCAGGGAACUGUGGCCCACCUGGGACCCUUCAGUGGGGGCCCUUGGUCAGUCCCCAAGGCUCUGCGUGGCCCUCCAGAGACUCUGCUUCCCGCUGGCUCAGUCAGCACCAUAGAGGGUGGAGGAGGGAGAUGGAGUUGGGGCAGGCAGGACAGUAGGGGGAGGACAGUCAGGCACCUCAUGUCCUGGUUUUUGCAGUGGCUGGGAGGAGGCUGAGGGCUGAAGGCCGACUCCCCUGAGAGCUGGCUGAGGCUUGAGGUGGGGUGGUAGGGCCAUCCCCACUGCCUGCAGGGCCCUUGGUCAUCCUUGUCACCCCAGGCUUCUCCCCAGCAGCAUUGGGCAGCCCCGUGAGAAAGUGGCCAAGGCAGGGGUAUGGAUGGAUCAGGGAGGGAGGUCUCAUUCGGCUCUGACAGGAAAAGGGUCAGAGAAGGGCCAGGGUGGUCAGAGGUAGGGUCACAGUCUCUGGAUCGGGCAGGAUGAGGGAAGAAGGGAACAGGCAGGGUCAGCGGCCAGGGCACAGGCAGAGGCAGGAGGUCACAUCCUGCAAGGCCCAUGGGGAGUGUCAGCUGGGAUGGGCUCCAGAUGCGUCCUGAGGGCGCUGGGCAGCUCUCAGGCCAGGCUCCCUGGACUCUGGUGGGUGAUGUGGUCACUCCCGAGGCACUGCUGUCAGUCAGGGCUUGGUCACCCACUCUGGGCAGCACCCAUCCCGUCUCAGGACUGAUUUUUGUAUUUUUGGUAGAGAUGGGUUUCACCAUAUUGGCCAGGCUGGUCUCGAUCUCCUGACCUCAUGAUCUGCCCGCCUUGGCCUCCCAAAGUGCUGGGAUUUUAGGCGUGAGCCACUACUCCCGGCCCAGUCAUGGGUUCUUAGUUUCUGUUUCUGAUUGGGCCGGUAAAGCCCCUUCCUCAUUCUUAUUUUCCACUUAUCACCAGAGACAGAAACUAAAAACCAUGGCUUCAGGCUGCUAAAAGCCUGAAACUAAACAAAACAGAACAACACAACAACAAAAUCAAAUGGGUUGGACAAGCUUGCCAGAUGUCCUCAGAAUGCAGCACUCUUUUUUUAUUUGUUUUUUGAGGCAGAGUCUUUCUCUGUCACCCAGACUGGAGUGCAGUGGUGCGAUCUCAGCUCACUACAACCUCUGUCUCCUGGAUUCCAGCGAUUCUCCUGCCUCAGCCUCCCCAGUAGCUGGGACUACAGGUGUGCGCCACCACGCCCAGCUAAUUUUUUGUACUUUUAGUAGAGACGGGGUUUCACCGUGUUUCGACUUCCUGACCUCGUGAUCUGCCUGACUCGGCCUCCCAAAGUGCUGGGAUUACAGGCCUGAGCCAACCCGCCUGGCCAGAAUGCAGCACUCUUUACUUGGAGAUAAUGCCAAUGAACAGGCUUAGGCUGAAGGAUUAUAGUGGUCAUGUAAAAUUGAUAAUGCCUAUAGUCCCUACCUUUAGUGAGUACAUAGGCACGUUCCAAGUUUAGUCAUAGCUCCUUGUAGUUUCUUUCUUUCUUUUCUCUCUCUUUCUUUCUUUCUUUCUUCCUUUCUUUCCUUUCUUUCUUUUGUUCUUUCUUUCUUUCUUGAGACAGAGUCUCGCUCAGUCACCCAGGCUGGAGUGCAGUGGCGCGUGACCUUGGCUUACUGCAACCUCCGCCUCCCAGGUUCAAGCGAUUCAACUGCCUCAGCCUCCGGAGUAACUGGGACUACAGGAGCACGCCACCAUGCCCGGCUAAAUUGUUGUAUUUUUAGUAGAGACGGAAUUUUACCAUGUUGCCCAGCCUGGUCUUGAACUCCUGACCUCAGGUGAUCCACCCGUGUUGGUGUCCCAAAGUGCUGGGAUUACAGGCAUGAGCCACUGCGCCUGGCCUCCUUGAAGUUUCUUACAAGCAGAAGCACUAACAAAGGACGAUGCAUUCCUUCUCCUGCUUUCUGAGGAUGCCGUACUCUGUAACAAAGUAGUUUCCAAUAAACUUGCUUCUUUCACCGACCGUGCUCUGUGACUCCCUCUGAAUUCUUUUCUACGUGAAAUCCAAGAACCUGCUCUUGGGGUCUGGAUUGGGACUCUUUUUUCUGGCAACAGGAACAUGUGCACUCAGGACAGAGCUCUCCCAGGGGUAAAAGGAUUUGAACAUUCUGAGUUCUCCAGCAAAUAGCUGACAUACUGGUGGUGGUGAGAGAUGUCUAGGGUGAAUGUUCUAGAGGUAGAGGUUCUGGUGCUGGUGAGGCAUGGGGAUGCCAGUGUGUGGAGGGGGUGGGGCGGGGGGGUGGAGAUGAGAGAUUCAAAGAACAGCAGGGCAAGUGGAACUGAUCAUCCAGUGGACAUUGACUUCAUGGAGCAUGAAGCUAAGGCUUGGGGUUUGUGAACAAAAGCCUCUAGAAAAUGAGCGGGAAGCAGAGUGACCAGUGGGUUUGUGAGGAACAAUAACAAGGUGAGCAUGAAGCUGUAUCCUGGGUGCCACGAGGUUUAAAGGAAAAUAAGCCAAAUCAUUUUCAUGUUGAACUUGGCUUAAACUUUCUAAUCAUUUUCUAUCCUCUGAGAAUUCCUCUUAUGAACAUCAUAGAAAUGGCAGCUUGAAAGGUAACAAAAUAUUUAUGAUGUACAAUGAAUGUAGAUACUUGCAGCUUUUCAUGUUUCAGAUAGUUAAUCUUGUAAGAAAAUUAAGGGAAUGUUCAAAAUGCAAUUUUCAGCCAGGUGCAGUGGCUCACACCUCUAAUCCGAGCACUUUGGGAGGCCUUGGCAGGCGGAUCACGAGGUCAAGAGAUCGAGACCAUCCUGGCUAACACGGUGAAAUCCCAUCUCUACUAAAAAUACAAAAAACUAGCCAGGCGUGGUGGCGGGCGCUUGUAGUCCCAGCUACUCGGGAGGCUGAGGCAGGAGAAUGGUGUGAACCUGGGAGGCAGAGCUUGCAGUGAGCCGAGAUAGCACCACUGCACUCCAGCCUGGGCAACAGAGCAAGACUCCAUCUUAAAAAAAAAAAAUGCAAUUUUCAUAUUUUUCAAUGGCUUCAUCUUCAUGCUGGAGAAUUGAAA